CAGUGCCAUGUCCUGGGGAUGGAUCACAGGCUGCAGCCCUGCUCAGCAAGAGGGAAAGCAGCAAACCUGAGUGUCCCACUGUUCGUGCCUACGUCUCCAGUGCUGAGCAGAGCUGUAAUGCCAAGGAUGAAAACUCUGAUAACAUAAACAGUCGGUACAAAAAGGUGUCAUCUAUUUGACUACUGAAACAAUUUUCAAGUGCAGCCCUACAAGUCAAAGCCCUGUGUCAAAGAAUACUGUAAGAGAAGCCAACUCUGAGGAAUGGUAAUGAAGGGGGCACGUGCUGGCACACCAUAUGUGCUGUACAAACAAGACCCCUCUCAGCUGCUGCAUCUCUCAGCUCCCUUCAGCCUCUCACAAAUUAAGUCCAGCUGAUUGCCAACUGCAGCUGCAAUAGCAAGCAAGUUCUUUAUCAGGACUUCUCUAUUAGUAGCUACGGGCAACCAACCCUGGGGUUCUGCCUUCUCUCCUACCUGCAGAGCACAGCUGGGGCUGACAUGGGUUUUACCCUGAACGUGGGACAAUCAAAAGUCAUCGACUCUUUUCCUGAAGAGCUGUAAGUCUUCCUUCCACAGGAAAGCACCCUGGGUGCCUCAGCCUAGAGGGCUCAAUUGUCAAAGCCACUGUAACUUCACUACUGACCAGCAAAUUACUGGUGUGGAUGCAGGACAUGCAUGAACACACAUGAGAAAAAAAUGAGCCUCCAUGGUCAGGAAACUGGGACACCCACCUGAGGGUGGGGAAUCCUCCACUUUGGUCACCAAACGGAGCAUGGAAGGAAUCAUAUGAGCAGGAGCAAAAACACCAGUCCUUUUCUUACCAGUCAUGAAAAACAAAAUAAACCAAAACUUUAUACACUGAAAAAAAAAUCUCUAACAUGGAAGGAAGGACAUGGGCAGUAGCCAAGUAAUUGUGCUAUUGCCUUGCAGCAAGAAACAAAUGCGGAUUUGAACAGAGGAGACAGGUAACUGAAUUAAUUUGUCUCAAAAGUCAGCAACCCUCUUGCAGUCUAGAGAAUGCCGAAGUUUAACACUAGUGUCCGGAUUCCACUCAGAGACCCAAAUAUCUGCAGUCCCCCAAAGUCCUCUGACAGUCUUUUACAUAGCUACUUCCUCUCCCAAAGUGCUGCUUUCCCCUCAAGUAAAGUGGUUCAUAUCACUCCAAUAAGCUCAUUAUAACCAACUACGCUGGUACUUUCUGCAUAGCUUCUGACAUUCUUGUCUGCUGAAACUCCUCCAACCUUGGGGCUGUAUCCCACGGAUCCUGCUUUAAUCCACCCCUACAUUUUUCCUUAAUGAGGUUCAUAUACCCCUGUGCACCAUACACAAACACACACACAGAGACAAAGUUUUAAAUAAUUAGUAGUUUUCCCUUAAGGGUAAAAAUGUGCUGUAAUAGUAUUUCUUUUUGUUAUGAAAUAAUGUAAACGAUCUUGGUGUGGUAAUAUUUCAUAAUAGGUCUGUGUUAUGCAAUUAAGGCUGUAGGAUUCAGAUGACUUACGUGCACCUGGAGAUACUGACAGAUGCUGGGGACUUGGAGCUGUUGAAAAGCACAUAUCCCUGUGCUUACAUACACACACACAUGGGUAAACACAUGCACAAAACGACAUAUGCAUCAUCUGUCUACAUCCUUUUACAAAAAAAUACUAGGUACAGUAAGGUAUGUGUAGUUUAAUUUCUGGUAAUUUCCGGUUCUCUUCAAAUGAAGAUCCCUUUGCAAAUCUUGUGGCUCUUUUUUAAGGAAGGUAGAUCUCCUACCCUCUCUUCUGUAAACCUUGU